AGAGAAACUUAGGUUAACAAAAACCAGGAGCCUUCAAAGCCCCAAAUAAAAGAUUGAUACUUUUAGUUUCUG
rnacentral:tRNA from 1 species